CAUUAGGGCCCGAGCACCAAGCCAUAGUGUUGGGAAGGCCUUUGUGAGACCACUAUGUUUAUCAUUAGGGUCCGAGCACCAAGCCAUAGUGUUGGGAAGGCCUUCUUGAAACCACUAUGUUUAUCAUUAGGGCCCGAGCACCAAGCCAUAAUGUUGGGAAGGCCUUUGUGAAACCACUAUGUUUAUCAUUAGGGCCCGAGCACCAAUCGAUAGUGUUGGGAAGGCCUUUGUGAAACCACUAUGUUUAUCACUAGGGUCCGAGCACCAAGACAUAGUGUUGGGAAAGGCCUUCUUGAAACCGCUAUGUUUAUCAUUAGGGCCCGAGCACCAAGCCAUAGUGUUGGGAAGGCCUUUGUGAGACUACUAUGUUUAUCAUUAGGGCCCGAGCACCAAGCCAUAGUGUUUGGAAGGCCUUUGUGAGACCACUAUGUUUAUCAUUAGGGUCCGAGCACCAAGCCAUAAUGUUGGGAAGGCCUUUGUGAAACCACUAUGUUUAUCAUUAGGGCCCGAGCACCAAGCCAUAGUGUUGGGAAGGCCUUCAAGAAACCACUAUGUUUAUCAUUAGGGCCCGAGCACCAAGCCAUAGUGUUGGAAAGGCCUUUGUGAAACCACUAUGUUUAUCAUUAGGGCCCGAGCACCAAGCCAUAGUGUUGGGAAGGCCUUUGUGAGACCACUAUGUUUAUCAUUAGGGUCCGAGCACCAAGCCAUAGUGUUGGGAAGGCCUUUGUGAAACCACUAUGUUUAUCAUUAGGGCCCAAGCACCAAUUGAUAGUGUUGGAAAGGCCUUCUUGAAAGCGCUAUGUUUAUCAUCAGGGCCCCUGGAGUUCCGAAAACAAACUCACUCACUAGCGCCCCCUUUUAAUUAGCCAUUAGGCUCAAGAAGUCAUGUUCCAAAACAAGGAGGAGAGGGUCAUAUUUGGCAAACUAGUCUUCAGGACUUUGACCAGAUGAAAAUCACGGAUACUAGACAGACGGGCAAUGUAACACUGCCAAGGAUUUUAGACUGUUGCAAAACAUGUGGGCGGGGCAUGGCAACAAGCUUUGAUGAUUGAUCAGCCAGUUGGCCACUGAACUGUCAACGCUAAUAACUUGGUUCUUAUUGUUUGUUCUCACAGUAGGCUGUAGGGACGCAUAUUCCUAGCUGUUGCAAGAUCGUUAAAAAGUCACUUUCAGCCAUUAGCCUAAACAUGCUUGCUUAUACAUGCUUUCAGUGUUUGCACAUGUGAGCAUCUCCUCAUGGAUCAUGACUUUGUCCCUCUCUAAUGAUGGUCCUGCCUCGCAUUCUUCUUCUGCGGCGUCCACCCUUCUAAUGAGCAUCAUUCUCUUCCUCCCACGUGGUGGACCCCCUCCCCGCAUCCAUCGCUCCUUCCUUAUGUGAUCUUUCUGCCAUUAAUUCCACCCACACUGCUCCCUACAUGCGCACGUCUUCUUCCUCGUCGUCGAUCCAGUCAAUCCAGCUUGUGUUGCCUGAGUCACGUGAUCUUUCUGCAUCUCAUUAUGGAAACCUUGUGAUGUUCAAAUGUUAACUGUCUUCUCCUUCUUCUUCUGUUUGCUGUCGUCAUCUUCCCGAUCCCAAGUUUCUGACGGCUACCGGGACCAGAGCGUUCCACAGGACGUCUGAGAGGACCCUCCUGGGCCGUCUUUUUUGGCCUACCCGGAAACACCUCCUUUAAACGUUAGCUGCGUCUGCGUUUUGCAAGUUAACUGCAAAAAGAGGAAUUAAUCACCAAAAUGUUAGCUAGCUUGCUAGCCAGCUGAGUCAUGCUAGCUGCUAGCUUCAACAAAACCAGGAAGUGGAAAAACAGGAAGUGGUUACUUUUUUUUUAAUUGAUAUAAUCUUCCACAAAGUCAAAGGAUUUCAGCAGAGGAGGACUUUUGUUGUUGUUCUUUGGUGUUUUGGGUUGGUGAAAUGCAUCUGGUAAACAAAAGAAAGACAGGACAUUGCUACUUUUGUGAUGUAAAUGUUGCUUCAUUGAUUUUUGCUGACUUUUAUAUCAUUUUAGUCAAGAUUGUUACAUUUUAAGAAAAAAACAUGCAUGUACUUAGUCAUACAUGUGAUUACACAUUGUUGUUCAAUUCUAACAAUGUUUACAUACAAAAAGCAUACUUUCCCCGUGCAGGAGUUUGAUUUUAAAAAGCUGCAAGUCACAUGCUAUUAUGGGAUGUCGCUUGUGAUAAUUGCCUCUCACUUCUGUGUGUGUAUUACCACUUUUUUUUCUCCAAGUGUGAGCUAGCUUUUUUUUUUUAAAGGGAUAAUCUUGCAAGAGAAAAAUCCAAGAUAAUCCAAACUUGGCAGGGAAACUGUGCAUUAGCUGUAAUAAGAUUUGAGUUCUAAUUUUAGCCUCCAUUCUACUGUUUUAAUGUACAAAUUGUUACAUUACUCUUUGUUUUAUUUUAGCUCUGGUGUUUUCAAAUAAAACGGUCAAAAGUGUUCUUGCAUGCAUAUGGUUUUGACCGUAAACAAUAACAACGUUGCCAUUAAAGUACUUUAAGUUGA